CUCUCCAGACAUGAAUGACACCAGAUCUACAAUGAAGAACAAUCACAUUGUCUGUAUUAUACUGGUUCUCUGCUCAGGACACGUUAUUGGAGACUCCAUUGAGCGAAUAAAUUCUCAGAUAUUUUCUGAAGAAGGGCAGAAAGUCAUUCUCUCCUGCAACUAUAAAAUGUCCUAUUCUACCACUUAUUAUCUUUUCUGGUAUCGUCACUCUCCGGGAUCGGCACCACAAUUCAUAUUACGUAAUGCUAACCAAGGAAAUCAUGGUUAUACUGAACCAUUUGCAGAGCAAAGAUUUACAUCUAAAGUAAACGGAUACUCUACAGAACUGGUUAUCAAUGAUGUGAAGAUGGAGGAUUCAGCCACCUAUCUCUGCUCUCUGCAGGCAGCACAGUGUGACACAUCUAACCUCUCAUCUUACACAAACCUCAUACUCAACUGUUUUUUUUAGAGCACAGAAAUGUUUUUUUUUAUAUA